GGAGGGUGCAAGCGUUGUUCGGAAUUACUGGGCGUAAAGCGCGCGUAGGCGGCUAUGUAAGUCAGAUGUGAAAGCCCGCGGCUCAACCGUGGAAGUGCAUUUGAAACUGUAUAGCUUGAGUACUGGAGGGGGUAGUGGAAUUCCCGGUGUAGAGGUGAAAUUCGUAGAUAUCGGGAGGAAUACCGGUGGCGAAGGCGACUACCUGGCCAGAUACUGACGCUGAGGUGCGAAAGCGUGGGGAGCAAACAGGGAUUAGAUACCCUGGUAGUCCACGCCGUAAACGAUGUCAACUAGGUGUUGGAGUGGUUAAUCGCUUCAUUGCCGGAGCUAACGCAUUAAGUUGACCGCCUGGGGAUACGGUCGCAAGAUUA
rnacentral:rRNA from 1 species